AGACUGAGAAAAUACUGAACUACUUGGUCACUAGGAUUCUUCCUAGUUCCCAAACUCUAUGCUUCUAGUUCAGUUUGGAGAAAUGAGACUGUUCCCUUUAGAGGACAGAGAGCAAUGCCCCCUCUCUCUUGCAGCUCAUGGUAAGAUCUAAAGGUUAGUGAUGUCUCCACUCUGCAAUUUGUCUGAACCAGAAGAGUGGUCAAAAUAGCAAAGACCAGAUUUCAUGAUGGGGUUGAAGCUUUCCUUCUACUUAAGCCAAACAUAAUAUCUCACUUUCCCAUGUCAAAUUUAGAGCUUUUCUUCACAUUCUAAGAGAGAAGAAGGAGAGAUAUUUGCUAGGGGAAAAAGCCAAAAUGUUCAUGAAUAAUCUACUUCAUUCCAAUCAAUUAGGAAGAAAAACGCAGUCCGCAAAGCACAUUCUGAAUUGGUAUAGUUGAGAGACCAAAAUAGACUGGCACACAGUAGAAUUAGAUUUACUAUUUCAAGCCCUGCUAUAUAUUUAUCCUUAUUUGGUUGUUUGAUGAUGUGUUGAAUGCUAGUCAUUUCCUCAGAAAAAUGGCCAGGCGUGGUUCCAUUUGCAGGGGUGGCUGUGUUUCAUCUCACAUCAUCCACUUACCCUGGCCGAAGCGAGUUGAACCAGAGUCACCACCAGACCCAAAGACAGCCAUGUAUAGGCCAGCAGCUCUGCCUAGUGGGAACCACAUUUAUCAAUGGUCCACCCAAU
rnacentral:lncRNA from 1 species